UGACCUUCAAAAUGUUGAUCUUGAGGAAAUGCUUGAUUUGGAUUAGCUCCAUAAGAACAAUUCAUGUGAUUCUUCACUCCAAGAUUGUAGGUGUUGAAAUGAGGAUUAUUUUGAGAGGUUGCUUGCACCAUACAUUGAGCUUCUAGUUGUUUGGUAAUGAUUUGUAGAAAGACAUUAUUGAACUUGCAACUAGUUAAGAGUGCCUCUUGAUCGUAUGAUUCAAAC
rnacentral:lncRNA from 1 species